UGUGUAGGUGGUUUGAUAAGUUAGAUGUGUAAUACCCAGGGCUUAACUCGGGUGCUGCAUCUAAAACUGUUAGACUUGAGUACUGGAGAGGAUAGUGGAAUUCCUAGUGUAGCGGUGGAAUGCGUAGAUAUUAGGAGGAACAUCAGUGGCGAAGGCGACUAUCCGGACAGCAACUGACACUGAGGCACGAAAGCUGGGGAGCAAACA
rnacentral:rRNA from 1 species